rnacentral:rRNA from 1 species
UUGGAGGGCAAGUCUGGUGCCAGCAGCCGCGGUAAUUCCAGCUCCAAUAGCGUAUAUUAAAGUUGCUGCAGUUAAAAAGCUCGUAGUUGAAUUUCGGGACCAAUAUGUCGGUCGUGCCUCGGUACGUACUGGCAUCGUUGGUUUCUCCCUUCUGACGAACCAUGAUGUCAUUUAUUUGGUGUCGUGGGGAAUCAGGACUGUUACUUUGAAAAAAUUAGAGUGUUUAAAGCAGGCUCACGCUUGAAUACAUUAGCAUGGAAUAAUGAAAUAGGACGUUUGAUUCUAUUUUGUUGGUUUCUAGGAUCGACGUAAUGAUUAAUAGGGAUAGUUGGGGGCAUUAGUAUUCAAUUGUCAGAGGUGAAAUUCUUGGAUUUAUUGAAGACUAACUACUGCGAAAGCAUUUGCCAAGGAUGUUUUCAUUAAUCAAGAACGAAAGUUAGGGGAUCGAAGACGAUCAGAUACCAUCGUAGUCUUAACCAUAAACUAUGCCGACUAGGGAUCGGAUGAUGUUAAUUUUUUAAUGACUCAUUCGGCGCCUUACGGGAAAC